rnacentral:lncRNA from 1 species
AUAGUUUAAGAAAGUUAUUAAAACUUUAAAAACUUUAACCACAGAGUGAAUGUAAUGUUUCCCCGCAGAAAAAACUAAGUCCAUUUAUAAGUAAAAUACAGAAAAAAUGGAAUUUUAUUUUUACAAAAUUUACUUCUGGAUACUAUCUUAUGAUCAUAAACAAGCUUCUGUCCAAGUUUGGUAGAAAUCCAGUAUAGUUUAAGAAAGUUAUUAAAAUUUCAAAAACUUUAACCACAGAGUGAAUAUUUGUGAACGACGCCGACGACGAC